rnacentral:rRNA from 1 species
UACGGAAGGCAGCAGGGGGAAUAUUGCACAAUAGGCGCAAGCCUGAUGCAGCCAUGCCGCGUGUAUGAAGAAGGCCUUCGGGUUGUAAAGUACUUUCAGUCGUGAGGAAGGUGUUAAGGUUAAUAACCUUAGCAAUUGACGUUAGCGACAGAAGAAGCACCGGCUAACUCCGUGCCAGCAGCCGCGGUAAUACGGAGGGUGCGAGCGUUAAUCGGAAUUACUGGGCGUAAAGGGCACGCAGGCGGUUAAUUAAGUUGGAUGUGAAAUCCCCGGGCUUAACCUGGGAAUGGCAUUCAAGACUGGUUAGCUAGAGUCUUGUAGAGGGGGUAGAAUUCCGAUGUGUAGCGGUGAAAUGCGUAGAGAUGUGGAGGAAUACCGGUGGCGAAGGCGGCCCCUGGACAAAGACUGACGCUCAUGUGCGAAAGCGUGGGGAGCAAACAGGGAUUAGAU